rnacentral:rRNA from 1 species
GACGAACGCUGGCGGCGUGCUUAACACAUGCAAGUCGAACGGAAAGGCCCUGCUUUUGUGGGGUGCUCGAGUGGCGAACGGGUGUGUAACACGUGAGUAACCUGCCCUUGACUUUGGGAUAACUUCAGGGAACUGGGGCUAAUACCGGAUAGGAGCUCCUGCUGCGUGGUGGGGGUUGGAAAGUUUCGGCGGUUGGGGCUGGACUAGCGGGUUAUGCGCUUCUUGGUGGGGUAGUGGCUUACCAAGGCUUUGACGGGUAGCCGGCCUGAGAGGGGAGACGGGGACCAGGGGACUGAGAGACGGCGCAGACGCCUACGGGCGGCAGCAGGGGGGAAUAUUGCACAAUGGGCGGAAGUCUGAUGCAGAAGCGUCGCGUGCGUGAAGACGGCCUUCGGGUGGUAAACCGCUUUCGCAUGUGACGAAGCGUGAGUGACGGUAAUGGGUAAAGAAGCACCGGCUAACUACGUG